CCUACGGGAGGCUGCAGUGGGGAAUAUUGCACAAUGGGCGCAAGCCUGAUGCAGCCAUGCCGCGUGUGUGAAGAAGGCCUUCGGGUUGUAAAGCACUUUCAGCGGGGCGGAAGGCGGUGAGGUUAAUAACCUCAUCGAUUGACGUUACCCGCAGAAGAAGCACCGGCUAACUCCGUGCCAGCAGCCGCGGUAAUACGGAGGGUGCAAGCGUUAAUCGGAAUUACUGGGCGUAAAGCGCACGCAGGCGGUCUGUCAAGUCGGAUGUGAAAUCCCCGGGCUCAACCUGGGAACUGCAUUCGAAACUGGCAGGCUAGAGUCUUGUAGAGGGGGGUAGAAUUCCAGGUGUAGCGGUGAAAUGCGUAGAGAUCUGGAGGAAUACCGGUGGCGAAGGCGGCCCCCUGGACAAAGACUGACGCUCAGGUGCGAAAGCGUGGGGAGCAAACAGGAUUAGAUACCCGGGUAGUC
rnacentral:rRNA from 1 species